rnacentral:rRNA from 1 species
GAGUUUGAUCCUGGCGUCAGGAUGAACGCUGGCGGCGUGCCUAAUACAUGCAAGUCGAACGCACUGAUUUAUCAGUGAGUGGCGAACGGGUGAGUAAUACAUAGGUAACCUGCCCUGUCGAGGGGGAUAACUAUUGGAAACGAUAGCUAAAACCGCAUAGGUGAAGAGAUCGCAUGGUCACUUCAUUAAAUAUCCUACGGGAUAGCGAGAGGAUGGACUUAUGGCGCAUUAGCUAGUUGGUGAGGUAACGGCUCACCAAGGCGACGAUGCGUAGCCGACCUGAGAGGGUGGACGGCCACACUGGGACUGAGACACGGCCCAGACUCCUACGGGAGGCAGCAGUAGGGAAUUUUCGGCAAUGGGGGAAACCCUGACCGAGCAACGCCGCGUGAGGGAAGAAGUAUUUCGGUAUGUAAACCUCUGUUAUAAAGGAAGAACGGUAUUAAUAGGGAAUGAUUAAUAAGUGACGGUACUUUAUGAGAAAGCCACGGCUAACUACGUG